rnacentral:misc_RNA from 1 species
GGCUGUUAUCGGAGCAUGCUUGAGCCAUUCUGGCGCCAUGUAACCCAUUGUUCCCCUCAUAUCGGUACUUGUUCUUGUUUGAUCCUUCAUUAGCAGCUUUGCUAGGCCAAAGUCUGCAAUUUUGGGCGUGUAAUGUUCGUCAAGUAGCACAUUCUGCGGCUUAAUGUCACAGUGGAUGAUUUGGGUAUCACAUUCCUCGUGCAAAUAUAAUAAGCCUCUCGCAAUUUGUAGC